rnacentral:misc_RNA from 1 species
GCUCGAGAAUAUGGGCUAAUUGAUAAGCCAAAUGUGACAGUUCCAAUGAGCAUUUGGUGGCUAGUUCCUCAAUAUGUCAUGUUUGGACUUGCUGAUGUAUUUACCAUGGUAGGUCUGCAAGAAUUCUUCUAUGAUCAGGUACCCAGUGAAUUAAGAAGUGUGGGUCUCUCUCUCUACCUCAGCAUCUUUGGUGUAGGAAGCUUUAUAAGCAGCUUUCUCGUCUCUGCCAUUGAAAAAGCUACUGGCGGGGAAGGCCAUGAUAGUUGGUUCGCUAAUAAUUUGAAUCGGGGUCAUCUUGAUUACUUCUAUUGGCUACUUGCUGCGCUAAGCAUUGUACAGUCGGUUGCUUAUUUGUAUUUUGCAAAGAAUUAUGUGUAUAAUAGGUGAGCACAGUAUAAAUGCAGUGAUUCUUGCUAUUAUUAUAAUUGAUGUACGUAGUCAGAGAUAUUUAUAUCUUCUUGAAAAAGAGAGAGAUCUUGUUGUAAGUACCUGUGUGUAAAUCUGAAUCUGUAAGUGUACAACAAUUGUAUAAUCAGCCAAAUUUACUGUUUUGUAUACUCAGCAGCUCUUUCCAAAUAUUUGUAAUUGCUUAUUCGAG